UACGUAGGGUGCGAGCGUUAAUCGGAAUUACUGGGCGUAAAGCGUGCGCAGGCGGUUUUGUAAGCCAGAUGUGAAAUCCCCGAGCUUAACUUGGGAACUGCAUUUGGGACUGCAAGGCUAGAGUACGGCAGAGGGGGGUAGAAUUCCUGGUGUAGCAGUGAAAUGCGUAGAUAUCAGGAGGAAUACCGAUGGCGAAAGCAGCCCCCUGGGUCGAUACUGACGCUCAUGCACGAAAGCGUGGGGAGCAAACAGG
rnacentral:rRNA from 1 species